rnacentral:rRNA from 1 species
UACAGAGGUCUCAAGCGUUGUUCGGAUUCAUUGGGCGUAAAGGGUGCGUAGGUGGUGAUGCAAGUCUGGUGUGAAAUCUCGGAGCUCAACUCCGAAAUUGCACCGGAUACUGCGUGACUCGAGGACUGUAGAGGAGAUCGGAAUUCACGGUGUAGCAGUGAAAUGCGUAGAUAUCGUGAGGAAGACCAGUUGCGAAGGCGGAUCUCUGGGCAGUUCCUGACACUGAGGCACGAAGGCCAGGGAGCAAACGGG